AUCAUGAGCCGCCGCCGCCGUCCACGCACCCGCAUCAUCCGCCGCCGGCCGAGCCCCACCACGAACCCGCCCCACAACGAGAAGAAAGCGGUGGCUGCCUAUCGUUUCUGAAAGGCUGCUUGGAAUGUCUUUGCUGUUGCUGGCUAUUCAAGAAGGUGUGCUGCUGCUGCUGCUCUUAAUUCCCAGGAGUGCAUAUAUAUAUAUAUAUAUAUAUAUAUAUAUAUAUCCUCAAAAAUAAUAAUUAUCGCACGUUGUUGUUGUUGUUGUUACGUUACGUUGUUGUAAUUGUCAAUCUCAAUUCGUUCUCCUAAAUAAAAUGCAGCACGUACUAGGCCUGCUUGCUUGCUGCCUGUAUUAAUCCUUUUCAGUUAUAAGGUUUGGUUUGCUUUGAAGGUUGUUUAUUUGACAUUAUAUUAUGGAGUUGUUAUGAUAUGAUGAUAUAUGGCAUGUGCAUUUCCUCGCA